AACUUUUUGAUUCCGUGUCGUGGUUUCAUCAAAUACCUAUUCAUCAGGACUGAUGAGACGUCCAAGAUAAAUUAAGUG
rnacentral:pre_miRNA from 1 species